UUGCAUAGUUUUUUUUUGGUCAAAUAUUUUAUUAGGUUAGUUGGUAAUUUUAUGUUGUAAUCAUUUUUCUGGUUAAAAGUUUAUGAUAUAAUCAUUUUUCACUAUUUAAAUCAUUCAAAUUUGACGGUAAAAUUAUAACAAAAAAUAAAAGAAAUAGUUUUUACUUAUCAAACUUGGCGUUGAAAAAAUAUCAAAUUAUUGUGAUUAUCUUAAUUAGUGCUAUUUUAAAA
rnacentral:lncRNA from 1 species